AACGAACGCUGGCGGCAUGCCUAACACAUGCAAGUCGAACGAGACCUUCGGGUCUAGUGGCGCACGGGUGCGUAACGCGUGGGAACCUGCCCUUAGGUUCGGAAUAACUCCCCGAAAGGGGUGCUAAUACCGGAUAAUGUCUUCGGACCAAAGAUUUAUCGCCUUUGGAUGGGCCCGCGUUGGAUUAGCUAGUUGGUAGGGUAAAAGCCUGCCAAGGCGACGAUCCCUAGCUGGUCUGAUAGGAGGAUCAGCCACACUGGGACUGAGACACGGCCCACACUCCUACGGGAGGCAGCAGUGGGGAAUAUUAGACGAUGGGCGAAGGCCUGAUCCAGCAGUGCCGCGUGAGUGAUGAAGGCCUUAGGGUUGUAAAGCUCUUUUACCCGGGAUGAUAAUGACAGUACCGGGAGAAUAAGCACCGGCUAACUCCGUG
rnacentral:rRNA from 1 species